AUUUCAACUAGUAAGAACUCAAUUCUUGAUAUCUGUAAUGGUUUUGUCGCCCUUUUAACAUUUAAAAACAUGAAUUGUUGAUAUCAACAAUUCAAUUCUUGAUAUCAGAAAUGCAAUUUUCACUAGUGGAAAUGCUGAUUGUUGAUAUCAGGAAUUACGCUUCUUGAUAUCAACAAUGACGUCAUCACUCGCAGAAAUACAUUUAUGAUAUCAAAAAUGAAAUCACAACUAGUAAAAAACAUACUUCUUGUUAUCUGUAACUUAAUUCUUACAUGUUAAAAUUUAAUUUUCACUAGUAAAAAUUCUUAUUGCAGAUAUCAUGAAUUCCGUUUAGGAUAUGUGCAUAAUAAUGAAUUCCUUUUCGGAUAUGUGCAUAGUAAUGACGACUGCUUGUUAAUAUUCAAAUAAGAGCGUGAUGUUUUUACGUGCUCAGAACUGUGGUGAACUGUGGACAAACUGGCAAUGGCAAAGGAGGUUUUUAGGCAAAUUAAACGCUUCACAAUUCAGUUUUCAGACCAUACAAUGCAAAUGCAAAACCAAAAAAUUGAAACCAGGCGUUUAUUUUCCUUGUUUUACGGUUAGGCCUACAUCAUCGGUAGCAGCCGCGCCAUAGAGUUACAGCAGAACAGACCGUUUGUGAUGCACUUUUAAAAGCACAAAGGGGAUUCAGAUCCUGAAGACUCCAUGCAAUCUCGCUGUACCCUCACCGCCAGUCUCUGCUCCAUGGAUUUUGCAAGCUUUUCCUUGCUCCUUAUUUUUAAUAAACCUUCAAUAAACAUAAAAGUUCCCAGUGUUGCUUUUUGUGAAAAAGGGCAGAUACACUUGUAUAUGAUUAACACACAACUUGGCACACAAUCUUUAGUUCUUUAGAUUGCUCCUGCUCACUAGAACAUAUUUCCUCCUUUCUGUGUAAGUGGGGAAACCAUGCAUUCAUACUCCUUUCUCUGAUCAACUGGAUCAUCCUCGUGCAGCACUGCAAACCAUAGCGGAGACUACAAGAUCAUGUAGGAAAGGACAGACGAAAUGCUUGACAUGCAGUUUAUUACAAAUGUAUAAAUCCACUGCAUUAAACCAGUGCAAAAGUCAA